CCUACAUUUCUGUUGUUCUUGUGAGUCCUUUGAAUGUGUGUCAUGUUGGUCAGAAUGAACUCUCCGUUGGCUAUCACAGGUAGACUAGCGAAGGAACAGACUUACUUUAUUCUCCUGUGUUUACGAACUGAAGCAGAGCAGAAGAGUCUUAGCGUAAGUCACUUUGGAUGUCUUCUCUUCCAGAAGUCAAAAUGGCACCCUCAGCUAAAAAUAUGCUUG
rnacentral:lncRNA from 1 species